GCCUCCCUCAUCAGACUAGAGGCCCCAAGAGUGUGAAGAAGGCCUCUGCCAUCAGACUGGGAGGUCCCCAGGGGUGGGAACAGGUUCUCCAUCCGUGUGGGAGUGCCUUGCGGGUUUGAACGGCACACUUCCUCCUCCAUCAGAUCAGGGUGUCCCUGGGAACCAGGGUGUGACUUGUUCGCAGACGCUGUCUCUCCAAGAGUGGGCGAAGCCUCUCCCGUCAGACUCGGAACUCCGUCCCGGGGUAUCCAGGUCUGAAUUCCUGGAAACUGCGGCUGUUACAACGUAUGACGAAAGGGACCUCACAGCCAUGAUGAAGUUCUGGAUCGCGUGACUGGGAGAUCAACCUGCAUGAUCUGGGUGGGCCCUAUGGGGGUCGCGGCAUCCUUACGAGGAGGCAGAGGGAGGUCUGACUGCUCAAGACAAGGGGAGGUGAAGAUAGAAGCAGAGCCCAGAGAUGCGGCCCCGAGCAAGGAAGGCUGGCAGCCACCAGAAACCGGAGGAGGCAAGGGAUGGAUUUUUUCCUGGAGCCUCCGGAAGGAACCAGCCCUGUUGACACCUGAGUUUAGCCCUGUAAGACUCAUUUCGGACUUCCGACCUCCAGAACAGAGAAUGCAUUUCUGCUGUUUUAAGCUGCUAAAUUUGUGGCAAUUUGUUAUAGCAGCUGCAGGAAACUAAUACACACUGUAAAUGUCACCCCUCCGGGAGGCUGGUUGGAGCCUCCACCAAAAUUACAGCCUCUGGUGUUUCUCUCCCAGAACGCACACUUUUC
ensembl:lncRNA